rnacentral:lncRNA from 1 species
UUUCACUCAUUGUUCGGAAAGGGGUCGCGCGGGCCUUUCGCCAUUACCUCAGACCUAAGGAACCAGAAACUUCGCCAGGUCGCUAUAACAAAUCCUCCAGAGUCCCUGUGGACACCUCACAGAGAAAGAGAGAGUUGCUUGAAACACAUCUCCUCUCUGAAACGUUUUCCCUGUGCUGACCCUGUGGUUACAGCUGGAUUGGUAGAGUACCACCACCCCUUCCCACUAUAUCUUGAAAGUACCCCAUAUACUGGCACAGUCUCCAAGAGCGGAAGGCAUGCCUCAAAGUCACAGAUUUUGGACUGUUACCAGCUCUGCUACUUCCGUCACACAUACAGUCUUGGGAAGAGAAUGUUGUGCCACCCUCACCACCACCCCCAUCCACCUACCACACCCUUUUCUCCUUAUGAAACCUCAAAGAGCUCCAAGGAGGGAACCAGUUGCCACCUGCUGUGUUGCCCUCCACUAGUGUGACUGGUUUUUCCUGCUGCAGCAGCCCUGAUGACCCAUGGAGACCGAUGUAGUUAGCCUUGUAGGAUGGAAACUCAAGUUUGGCAGGCAAACAAUAAAAUAGGUCUUUUCAAGUGAUUCUGAGAACCUGAAAAGUGACUUUGUUGUAAAACCUGUGAUUUUCCUUUCUCCUUUCCAAUGAGUUGGAUUUUUGAACUAUACUUAGUAUUCAGAACUCAAAGUACUCUCUGUUCUUGCUGCUUGUGAAUGCAUUACAAAGUGAACCC